rnacentral:rRNA from 1 species
UACGGAGGGUGCAAGCGUUGCUCGGAUUUACUGGGCGUAAAGCGCACGCAGGCGGUCUGGAAGGUCGGGUGUGAAAGCCCGGGGCUCAACCCCGGAACUGCACUCGAAACCGCCAGACUUGAGGUCGAGAGAGGAGGGUAGAAUUCCUGGUGUAGAGGUGAAAUUCGUUGAUAUCAGGAGGAAUACCGGUGGCGAAGGCGGCCCUCUGGCUCGAUUCUGACGCUCAUGUGCGAAAGCGUGGGGAGCAAACAGGAUUAGAUACCCUGGUAGUCCACGCUGUAAACGAUGAAUGCCAGGUGUUGGAGGUUUCACCCCUUCAGUGCCGUCGCUAACGCUUUAAGCAUUCCGCCUGGGGAGUACGGUCGCAAGAUUA